rnacentral:rRNA from 1 species
GACGAACGCUGGCGGCGUGCUUAACACAUGCAAGUCGAGCGGUAAGGCCCUUUCGGGGGUACGACGAGCGGCGAACGGGUGAGUAACACGUGGGUGACCUGCCCUCAGCUCUGGGAUAAGCCUGGGAAACCGGGUCUAAUACCGGAUAUGACUCCAUGACGCAUGUUGUGGGGUGGAAAGCCUUGUGCGGCUGAGGAUGGGCCCGCGGCCUAUCAGCUUG